UACGAAGGGGGCUAGCGUUGCUCGGAUUUACUGGGCGUAAAGGGCGCGUAGGCGGACAGUUAAGUUGGGGGUGAAAGCCCGGGGCUCAACCUCGGAAUUGCCUUCAAAACUGGAUAUCUUGAGUUCGGGAGAGGUGAGUGGAACUCCGAGUGUAGAGGUGAAAUUCGUAGAUAUUCGGAAGAACACCAGUGGCGAAGGCGACUCACUGGCCCGAUACUGACGCUGAGGCGCGAAAGCGUGGGGAGCGAACAGG
rnacentral:rRNA from 1 species